rnacentral:misc_RNA from 1 species
GAUGAAGAACGCAGCGAAAUGCGAUAAGUAAUGCGAAUUGCAGAAUUUCCGUGAAUCAUCGAAUCUUUGAACGCACAUUGCGCCCGCUAGUAUUCUGGCGGGCAUGCCUGUUCGAGCGUCAUUUCAACCAUCAAGCCCUGUUUAGGCUUGUGUUGGGGCCCUGCGGCUGCCGCAGCCCCCUAAAUGCAGUGGCGGGCUCGUUGUCACUCCGAGCGCAGUAGCGUAUCUCGCUCUGGGCGUGGCGGCGGGUGCUAGCCGUGAAACACCCACUAAGGUUGACCUCGGAUCAGGUAGGAAUACCCGCUGAACUUAAGCAUAUCAAUAAGCGGAGGA